CAGCCGCCACGGGAACACGGAGGGUGCGAGCGUUAAUCGGAAUAACUGGGCGUAAAGGGCACGCAGGCGGUGACUUAAGUGAGGUGUGAAAGCCCCGGGCUUAACCUGGGAAUUGCAUUUCAUACUGGGUCGCUAGAGUACUUUAGGAAGGGGUAGAAUUCCACGUGUAGCGGUGAAAUGCGUAGAGAUGUGGAGGAAUACCGAAGGCGAAGGCAGCCCCUUGGGAAUGUACUGACGCUCAUGCGCGAAAGCGUGGGGAGCAAACAGGAUUAGAUACCCCCGUAGUCCCUGUCUCUUAUAC
rnacentral:rRNA from 1 species